AGACUUCUAGCAGCCACACAGUGAGGUCUUGAGCUGAUGUGUUUCAAGGCUAUACAAGUAAUAGAGGCAGCAGUUAUGGCCUCCUAGGGGAAGGUGAUAACCUAAGAACAUAAGUGGGGAGUGGGGGAGGAUGUUAGGACAGCAGCUAAUGGGGCUGGAGGCCAGGACAGGUCUCCAGUCCUAGAGACGCAAAGAACAAAGGCAGAAGAGGAGAGAGCAAGAAGGCCAGCCACAACAGGACCCAGAGCAGGGUGAAGCUGCAGCCCAGCGCUCACCUGGGAACCCAGACUCCAAAAGGGAAGAUGGCCUGCUGGCACUUUGAUUUUAGUCUGACGAGACCCACACCAGACCUCUGACCUACAAACUGUGAGUGCCAUUCCUGGGCUUUUUGCCCACUGUGAAGACUCCUUUAAUGAGCCCUGGAGCAGCUGCUUGUGCAGAAGCUGCAGUAAGACACAGAUUAGCCCUGAGCUAACUACUGCCAAUCCUCCUCUUUGUGCUGAGGAAGACUGGCCCUGAGCUAACAUCCAUGCCCAUCUUCCUCUACUUUAUAUGUGGGAUACCUACAACAGCAUGGCUUUUGCCAAGCAGUGCCGUGUCCACACCUAGGAUCUGAACUGGCGAAUCCCAGGCCGCUGGAAGUGGAACGUGUAAACUUAACUGCCACCAGGUUGGCCCCGGGACCAUUGUCUCAUAUGCGAUCCAUUGUUGACCAAAAUAUCAUUAUAUGGCGCAUGACUAUAUAUAAAUAAAUAUAUAUACAAAU
rnacentral:lncRNA from 1 species